rnacentral:rRNA from 1 species
GACGAACGCUGGCGGCGUGCUUAACACAUGCAAGUCGAACGGAAAGGCCCUGCUUUUGUGGGGUGCUCGAGUGGCGAACGGGUGAGUAACACGUGAGUAACCUGCCCUUGACUUUGGGAUAACUUCAGGAAACUGGGGCUAAUACCGGAUAGGAGCUCCUGCUGCAUGGUGGGGGUUGGAAAGUUUCGGCGGUUGGGGAUGGACUCGCGGCUUAUCAGCUUGUUGGUGGGGUAGUGGCUUACCAAGGCUUUGACGGGUAGCCGGCCUGAGAGGGUGACCGGCCACAUUGUGACUGAGAUACGGCCCAGACUCCUACGGGAGGCAGCAGUGGGGAAUAUUGCACAAUGGGCGGAAGCCUGAUGCAGCAACGCCGCGUGCGGGAAGACGGCCUUCGGGUUGUAAACCGCUUUCGCCUGUGACGAAGCGUGAGUGACGGUAAUGGGUAAAGAAGCACCGGCUAACUACGU